rnacentral:rRNA from 1 species
GACGAACGCUGGCGGCGUGCUUAACACAUGCAAGUCGAACGAAGUGGCGAACGGGUGAGUAACGCGUAAUCAACCUGCCCUUCAGAGGGGGACAACAGUUGGAAACGACUGCUAAUACCGCAUACUGAAGGAGGGGAUUGCGUCUGAUUAGCUAGUUGGCUGGGUAACGGCCCACCAAGUCGAUGGUCAGUAGCUGGUCUGGGAGGAUGUACGGCCACAUUGGGACUGAGAAACGGCCCAGACUCCUACGGGAGGCAUCAGUGGGGAAUCUGCCGCAAUGGACGAAAGUCUGACUGAGCAACGCCGCGUGAGUGAUGACGGCCUUCGGGUUGUAAAGCUCUGUUAAUCGGGACGCGGUACCGGAAUAGAAAGCCACGGCUAACUACGUGCCAGCAGCCGCGGUAAUAC